rnacentral:rRNA from 1 species
GAUGAACGCUGGCGGCGUGCCUAGUACAUGCAAGUCGAGCGAACAGACGAGGAGCUUGCUCCUUUGACGUUAGCGGCGGACGGGUGAGUAACACGUGGAUAACCUCCAUAUCAGACUGGGAUAACUUCGGGAAACCGGAGCUAAUACCGGAUAACAUGUUGAACCGCAUGGUUCAACAGUGACAGACGGUCUUGCUGUCACUUAUAGAUGGAUCCGCGCCGCAUUAGCUAGUUGGUAAGGUAACGGCUUACCAAGGCAACGAUGCGUAGCCGACCUGAGAGGGUGAUCGGCCACACUGGAACUGAGACACGGGCCAGACUCCGACGGGAGGCAGCAGUAGGGAAUCUUCCGCAAUGGGCGAAAGCCUGACGGAGCAACGCCGCGUGAGUGAAGAAGGUCUUCGGAUCGUAAAACUCUGUUAUUAGGGAAGAACAAAUGUGUAAGUAACUAUGCACGUCUUGACGGUACCUAAUCAGAAAGCCACGGCUAACUACGUG